rnacentral:tRNA from 1 species
AUGGCUCAGUGGUAGAGUACUUGCCUUGCAUGCAUGAGGCCCAGGGUUCAAUUCCUCAGU